GCGGUCGUGGCCGAGUGGUUGAAGUGAUUGACUAGAAAUCCAUUGGGGUCUCCCCGCACAGGUUCGAAUCCUGUCGACUGCG
rnacentral:tRNA from 2 species